GCAGCGCAUGUUGGGUUCCCAUAAAUGCUCUUGGCACAGCUGAAGGCUCCAACUGAGACAGCAGCACCUACAGCAGCAAUGAUGUUGAUCCCACUCUUCCUCAACUCUCUCAUCUUCCUCAUUCAAGAUUCCAAGGGGCAGGUGAGCAUUAGUCAAACUCCAGUAACGACCACCAGUCCAGGAGCCAUAGUCACAAUCACCUGCAGACGCAGUGGAAGCAUUUUCCGGGACUGUAAGCCUACACCAUGUAUCUCCUGGUACCAUCAGAAGCCUGGGGAGAAACCCAAACUCCUCAUCUCCAGAGUGAAGAGCUUCCAGUCUGGUAUUCCUGCUAGAUUCAGUGGCAGUGGAUCUGGGAAUGACUACAGUUUGACCAUCAGAGGAGUCCUGAGUGAAGAUACUGGAGAUUAUUACUGCAUGAGUCAUCAUGUACCUAGUGGUGGCAGUUACUGGGAGUUCACACAGUGA